rfam:Schistosoma mansoni strain Puerto Rico chromosome 3, complete genome
GCACUGAUGAUGAGUCCACAAUAGGACGAAACGGCCAUCCAGUGC